ACCCCCCAAUUUCUAUUAUUCUCUCCUCAAACCCUAACCCCAAAUUCCCUAGCCGAUAAUCACAUCCCAAAACCCCCCCAAUUUACGUUAAUGGAUCAAAAGGUUCGGAGCCUCAUUUAUAUGGAUUGUGGGCUGGAUGUACUUUCCCAGGAGGUGGAGAUUUGUGAUUGUAGCUGGUGUCGCCGCCGCCUAUUGGUGUGAAAAAGCUCAUAAUAUUCAAGAAAAUUCCUGUAUCCGUCUCGAAUCUGAAAGCUUUAAUGGAGAAGACUGAGUUCGAAAUUGUGGAAAACAUAGCCGAGGAAACGUGCCGUCCCGGAGUGCUCGUUGGGAAGAUCAAGGACCGAUUCGGUCAUAUUUGGGAAUUCAGCAGCUCGGCUGCCGGAGACACAUGGCGGUACAUCCUUCUUCAUUCUUGCAGUGAUAAUCCAUACAAAAACGAAUUCAUAACUAAUUUAAAGAAUCGAAUAGAAAUUAUUACAAGAAAUGAACAGAGAAAUUACUCACUGAUAGUUCUUGUUUGUGAUGAUGAAUUUGUCUGAUCCAACCUCCACUUCAGCGCACACAAAUGUUGUGGCUCGAAUUUGUUGUACCGAAUCAACCUAGCACCAAAAAGAUCUUCAUAGAAUUGAACCACUCACAUACCACUAGUUGGGGCCAUCACCCGUUGUGGGGUCAGGUCUGUGAUGGUUACUGAAGCUUCAUGUUCGACCUCAAUAUUCUUGCGGCUUUUCGUAAUCUCCUUUUUCUUCUCCUCCUCCUUGUGUUUCUGUUCCUCUUUGUUAUCCUUCUUCUUCAAUGUAUGAAGUAAAAUAUCUCUCACAUUGUAAUAAUUUAGUGGCUUAAUAAUGUACAGGAUAUUACCUUCUACGGCUCCCCCAAAAUCUAAAAUCACAUAUGGUGAAGUAUGCCAGCUAACGAGCCUCACUAUUGUGCCUCGGAAGUUAUGGAAAUAGCGGACUUCCCUGGCUGUAUUCAACGUUCCUUCAUAUCGUAGGAGAUAUUCUUGCAACACUACGAUAUGAAGGAAUGUUGAAUAUAGUCAGGGAAGUCCGUUAUUCUCAUAACUUCCGAGGCACAAUAGUGGGCCUCGUUAGCUGGUAUACUUCACUGGAGGCGAUGUUAGAUUUUGGGGGAGCCGCUGGAGGUAAUAUCCUGUACAUUAUUAAGCCACUAGAUUAUUACAAUGUGAGGGAUAUUUUACUUCAUACAUUGAAGAAGAAGGAUAACAAAGAGGAACAGAAACACCAGGAAGGAAAAGAAAAAGGCGAGUACGAAAAGCCGCAAGAGUGUUGAGGUCGAGCAUGAGGCUUCAAUAACCAUCACAAACCUGACCCCACGACUGGUGGUGGCCCCAACCAGUGGUAUGUGGGUGGUUCAAUUCUAUGAAGAUCUUUUUGGUGCUAGGUGGAUUCGGUACAACGAAUUCGAGCCACAACAUUUGUGUGUGCUGAAGUGGAGGUUGAAUCAAACAGUUUCGUCAUCACAAAUAAGGACUAUGAGUGACUAAUUUCUCUGUUCGUUUCUUACAAUAAUUUCUAUUUGGUUCUUUAAAUUAAUUAUGAAUUUGUUUUUGUACGGAUGAUCGCUGCUGCGUUUGUCUCCGGUAGGCCCAGAAUAUGGAAUGCCAUGAAAAACUGGCGUGCUCGUUGCUUGAGGACAUAUUUGGGAACUCGCAGCUCGGUUGUAUGAAUAUGUUGUUGAUUGCGGAGCCGAAGCAUAAACAUCGGUGGAACUCUGGCUACCACUUUGAGAGUUUUCCUGGAACGCCAAGGGGGGUGGCUUCAUUGAAAACUAAGCUAACGGCUGAAGAUGGUUUUAAUCACAUUCACCAGUCUACAAAUCGACAUUCUCACUUUAACCCUUUUGUGCUUGGUCUGGAAGAUACGAUAUUGGAAUUGGGUUUUAAUUCCAAUACCUUUUGAUUGUAAAUACGUUUAAUCAACAGUUUGAUUGCAUUGAAUUGGAGAUAUGCCCAAACCACAUGAAUGAUAAUAUUGUGUUUAAAAUUUGAAGUAGAAGAACAUCACACACAUCAGAUACCCAUGAAUACAGAAAGAACAACAGAAUUUUCAUUUGCC